UGCACGGUGGCGCAGUUGGUAGCACUGUUGCAUGCAGCAAGAAGGUCCUGGGUGUCGAUUCCCGGCCGGGGGUCUUUCUGCAU